GAUGAACGCUAGCUACAGGCUUAACACAUGCAAGUCGAGGGACCGGCGCACGGGUGAGUAACACGUAUCCAACCUGCCCUUUACUCGGGGAUAGCCUUUCGAAAGAAAGAUUAAUACCCGAUAUAAAGGAUGGGGAUGCGUUCCCUUAGGUUGUUGGUGAGGUAACGGCCCACCAAGCCCUCGAUGGAUAGGGGUUCGGAGAGGAAGGUCCCCCACAUUGGAACUGAGACACGGUCCAAACGGCUACGGGAGGCAGGAGUGAGGAAGAUUGGGCAAGGGGCGUUAGCCUGAACCAGCCAAGUAGCGUGAAGGGUGAAGGCUUAUGGGUCGUAAACUUCUUUUAUAUAAGAAUAUGUAUUAUAUGAAUAAGGAUCGGCUAACUCCGUGCCAGCCGCCGCGGUAAUAC
rnacentral:rRNA from 1 species